UACAGAGGUCUCAAGCGUUGUUCGGAUUCAUUGGGCGUAAAGGGUGCGUAGGCGGCGCGGCAAGUCGGUCGUGAAAUCCCUCGGCUCAACCGAGGAACGUCGAUCGAUACUGCUGUUCUUGAGGAUUGCAGAGGAGACUGGAAUUCCCGGUGUAGCGGUGAAAUGUGUAGAGAUCGGGAGGAACACCGGUGGCGAAGGCGGGUCUCUGGGCAAUUCCUGACGCUGAGGCGCGAAAGCGUGGGGAGCAAACGGG
rnacentral:rRNA from 1 species